AGCUAAAUAGCUUAAGUCUAAAAGCACAAACUUUUUAAGUUUGGGAUAUUUUUAAAUUUUAGCCA
rnacentral:tRNA from 1 species